GCAAGGUAGAAGCGCUCCACUUGUAAUGGAGAGGUCCCGGGUUCGAUACCCGGACCAGGCG
rnacentral:tRNA from 1 species